rnacentral:rRNA from 1 species
UGGGUGGUAAUGCCGGAUGUGCCGGGCUCCUGCAUGGGGGUCCGGGAAAGCUCUGGCGGCGUGGGAUGGGGUCGCGUCCUAUCAGCUUGUUGGCGGGGUGAGGGCCCACCAAGGCUUCGACGGGUAGCCGGCCUGAGAGGGCGACCGGCCACAUUGGGACUGAGAUACGGCCCAGACUCCUACGGGAGGCAGCAGUGGGGAAUAUUGCACAAUGGGCGCAAGCCUGAUGCAGCGACGCCGCGUGCGGGAUGGAGGCCUUCGGGUUGUAAACCGCUUUUGUUUGGGAGCAAGCCCUCGGGGUGAGUGUACC